GAUGAACGCUGGCGGCGUGCCUAAUACAUGCAAGUCGAGCGAACGGACGAGAAGCUUGCUUCUCUGAUGUUAGCGGCGGACGGGUGAGUAACACGUGGAUAACCUACCUAUAAGACUGGGAUAACUUCGGGAAACCGGAGCUAAUACCGGAUGAUAUUUUGAACCGCAUGGUUCAAAAGUGAAAGACGGUCUUGCUGUCACUUAUAGAUGGAUCCGCGCUGCAUUAGCUAGUUGGUAAGGUAACGGCUUACCAAGGCAACGAUGCACAGCCGACCUGAGAGGGUGAUCGGCCACACUGGAACUGAGACACGGUCCAGACUCCUACGGGAGGCAGCAGUAGGGAAUCUUCCGCAAUGGGCGAAAGCCUGACGGAGCAACGCCGCGUGAGUGAUGAAGGUCUUCGGGUCGUAAAACUCUGUUAUUAGGGAAGAACAUAUGUGUAAGUAACUGUGCACAUCUUGACGGUACCUAAUCAGAAAGCCACGGCUAACUACGUG
rnacentral:rRNA from 1 species